GACAGAGGGUGCAAACGUUGUUCGGAAUUACUGGGCGUAAAGCGCGUGUAGGCGGCCCUGCAAGUCGGGUGUGAAAUCCCAUGGCUCAACCAUGGAAGUGCACUCGAAACUGCAGGGCUAGAGUCCUGGAGAGGAAGGUGGAAUGCUUGGUGUAGAGGUGAAAUUCGUAGAUAUCAAGCGGAACACCGGUGGCGAAGGCGGCCUUCUGGACUGCAACUGACACUGAUGAACGAAAGCCAGGGGAGCAAACGGG
rnacentral:rRNA from 1 species